GUGAGCAGAACCAAGAGAAUAUCAUACAAGGUAAUCAUCUGAGUCAGUCAAAAUGGUCCCUGGAACCUUGCUAAUGGAACACGAAAACGCUCCACUAAUGAAGGGUUCCCAGACUAGCCAUCUCUUCCUUUCUCACCAGGCAGAGAUCAAGAACCUCAGGGAAAUCCCAGAAGAUUUAUGGAGUCACACCACACGGCAUUGAAAAGAAGAUGAAGAAUGUGUGGUAGAAGCUGUUCUUCCUCCCUCCAUGCAGUCCCCUCAGAAUUCUCACUUGAAGAAUGGUAU